CGAUAACACCCAAGUCCGAAU
rnacentral:miRNA from 1 species